rnacentral:rRNA from 1 species
UACGAAGGGUGCAAGCGUUACUCGGAUUACUGGGCGUAAAGCGUUGCGUAGGUGGUUUGUUAAGUCUGUUGUGAAAGCCCCGGGCUCAACCUGGGAAGUGCAUACGAAACUGGUCGGCUUGAAUAUGGAAGAGGUCGCGGAAUCCGGUCGUAGUGGUGAAAUACGUAGAGAUUGGGAAGAACACCAGUGGCGAAGGCGGCUAUCUGGACGGUUUCUGACGCUAAGACGGCGAAAAGCGUGGGGAGCAAACAGG